rnacentral:rRNA from 1 species
UUGACCUCAAAUCACGUAGGACUACCC